GCGUCUCCUUCUCCGUAGGGAUGUCUCUUUUCUUGGUGUUGCAUCAGGUCCCAGUGUCCUGCUGUGCUGUGCAGUGCAGAUGUUAAGAAAUGACAUUUGAAGACGGAUUAACAUGAACGCUAAGUUUUUCCGGUAAGAGGGGACCUAAAAUGUCAUCGCUCUUCAGGACAUGCCAGUGUUUCCGCAAUAUCUUUUUAAUGUGCACCAGGUCUGCUUCAAAUGGAUUGUUGUGCCAUAUCUGUUCUGCUUCCCAUUCGGCUACGAAAAGGUUGGCGUAACUCGGCACGAACCUGGCACCCAUGGCUGUCCCACAUAGAUGACGGUAAAACUGGUGUUCAAACAAGAAA